rnacentral:rRNA from 1 species
AUUGAACGCUGGCGGCAGGCCUAACACAUGCAAGUCGAGCGGAUGAAGAGAGCUUGCUCUCUGAUUCAGCGGCGGACGGGUGAGUAAUGCCUAGGAAUCUGCCUGGUAGUGGGGGACAACGUUUCGAAAGGAACGCUAAUACCGCAUACGUCCUACGGGAGAAAGUGAGGGAUUUUCGGACCUCACGCUAUCAGAUGAGCCUAGGUACGAUUAGCUAGUUGGUGAGGUAAAGGCUCACCAAGGCGACGAUCGUUAACUGGUCUGAGAGGAUGAUCAGUCACACUGGAACUGAGACACGGUCCAGACUCCUACGGGAGGCAGCAGUGGGGAAUAUUGGACAAUGGGCGAAAGCCUGAUCCAGCCAUGCCGCGUGUGUGAAGAAGGUCUUCGGAUUGUAAAGCACUUUAAGUUGGGAGGAAGGGCAGUAAGUUAAUACCUUGCUGUUUUGACGUUACCGACAGAAUAAGCACCGGCUAACUUCGUGCCAGCCGCCGCUGUAA